CUCAAAAAUGCAAAAUUGACUGGUCUGAUGGACACAGGAUGGCCGAGCAGUGAUAGUUGUACAUUUCCAUCACUCGUUGUGUUGAUUUCAUCAUGUCCAUUAGGUGAUGUUUUUUCACUAUAGAAUCAUAUUGCAAAUGCACGUGCAUUGUUGUGCAACUGGUAACCCAAAAAUAAAAAUAUGGUUGUAAAUGCAUUUACCCGGUCAUUCUGAUAUUAAUGCUCGCUAUGGGAACACAGGAUGGCCGGGCAGUGAUAGUUGUACAUUUCCAUCACUCGUUGUGUUGAUUUCAUCAUGUCCAUUAGGUGAUGUUUUUACACUAUAGAAUCAUAUUGCAAGUGCGCGCGCAUUUGCAAUAUGUUUCAAUGUGCAUUUACCAUAUGAAAUUUGACAUGCUCAAAAAUGCAAAAUUGACUGGUCUGAUGGACACAGGAUGGCCGAGCAGUGAUAGUUGUACAUUUCCAUCACUCGUUGUGUUGAUUUCAUCAUGUCCAUUAGGUGAUGUUUUUUCACUAUAGAAUCAUAUUGCAAAUGCACGUGCAUUGUUGUGCAACUGGUAACCCAAAAAUAAAAAAUAUGGUUGUAAAUGCAUUUACCGGUCAUUCUGAUAUUAAUGCUCGCUAUGGGAACACAGGAUGGCCGGGCAGUGAUAGUUGUACAUUUCA